GAUGAACGCUGGCGGCGUGCUUAACACAUGCAAGUCGAACGAGAAAUGUAGACGGAAACCUUCGGGCGGAAGCCUUCAUUUCGAGUGGCGGACGGGUGAGUAACGCGUGGGUAACCUGCCUCAUACAGGGGGAUAACAGUUGGAAACGACUGUUAAUACCGCAUAAGACCACAGCAUCGCAUGAUGCGGGGGUAAAAACUCCGGUGGUAUGAGAUGGACCCGCGUUCGAUUAGCCAGUUGGCGGGGUAACGGCCCACCAAAGCGACGAUCGAUAGCCGAUCUGAGAGGAUGACCGGCCACAUUGGGACUGAGACACGGCCCAAACUCCUACGGGAGGCAGCAGUGGGGAAUAUUGCACCAUGGGGGAAACCCUGAUGCAGCGACGCCGCGUGAGUGAAGAAGUACUUCGGUAUGUAAAGCUCUAUCAGCAGGGAAGAAAAUGACGGUACCUGAGUAAGAAGCCCCGGCUAACUACGUG
rnacentral:rRNA from 1 species